rnacentral:rRNA from 1 species
CGUAGGGUCCAAGCGUUAUCCGGAAUCACUGGGCGUAAAGCGUGCGUAGGUGGCGCGUUAGGUGAGAUGUUAAAUCGUGUGGCUCAACCAUAUCGAUGUAUCUCAUACUGGCGUGCUAGAGGACAGCAGAGGCAAGUGGAAUUUGUAGUGUAGCAGUGAAAUGCGUAGAUAUUACAAGGAACACCAAUGGCGAAGGCAGCUUGCUGGGCUACUCCUGACACUGAGGUACGAAAGCGUGGGGAGCGAACAGGAUUAGAUACCCUGGUAGUCCACGCCGUAAACGAUGCAUACUAGUCUUAUGGGGUAUCGACCCCCUGUGAGACGCAGCUAACGCGAUAAGUAUGCCGCCUGGGAAGUACGGCCGCAAGGCUA